rnacentral:rRNA from 1 species
UUGAAAGGGAAACCAUUGAAAACGACUUCGUCUCCCGGGACUCCGCCGAGCGGCCUCGUUCGGCGUGCUUUCCGGGGCGACGGGCCAGCAUCGAUUUCGACCACCGGAGAAAGGUGGGGGGAACGUGGCACCUUCGGGUGUGUUAUAGCCCCUCGUCGCAUGCGGCGGUUGGGAUCGAGGACCGCAGCACGCCCUCACGGGCCGGGGUUCGCCCACGUAACGUGCUUAGGAUGCUGACGUAAUGGCUUUAAACGACACGCGCAUAUCAAUAAGCGGAGGAAGUUGACGUAUUCGUUAAGGAUGUUGACGUA